rnacentral:rRNA from 1 species
UACGUAGGGCGCAAGCGUUAUCCGGAAUUAUUGGGCGUAAAGGGCUCGUAGGCGGUUUGUCGCGUCUGCCGUGAAAAGUCCGGGGGCUCAACUCCGGAUCUGCGGUGGGUACGGGCAGACUAGAGUGAUGUAGGGGGAGACUGGAAUUCCUGGUGUAGCGGUGAAAUGCGCAGAUAUCAGGAGGAACACCGAUGGCGAAGGCAGGUCUCUGGGCAUUAACUGACGCUGAGGAGCGAAAGCAUGGGGAGCGAACAGG